AUGGAAAAUGUGCUGUCGCUCCUGGUGUUACUCGCCAUCUCGCCCUGUGCCUGGUCCCAAAUCCAGCUGGUCCAGUCCAGGCCCAGCGUGGUGAAGCCCGGAGAGCCCCUCUUACUGACCUGCACCGUGUCUGGUUACUCCAUUUCUUCAGGCUCCGACUGGGCUUGGAUCCGGCAGGCUCCUGGGAAAGGCUUGGAAUAUAUGGGGUAUAUAUAUGGUAGCCAGGGCACCAACUACACCCCGGCUUUCCAGGGCCGAAUCACCAUCACCGCAGACACCUCCAAGAACCAGUUCUCCCUGCAGCUCCACUCGCUGACAGCUGCAGACACCACCAGCUAUUACUGCACCCGAGACACAGAGCUGGACCCCAACAAAAAGGGGAAGUGGUUUCUAUACACACAUUCAGGGCAUUUCCCGCUCAGAGAGACACAGACAGGAAUAGAGAAGCAGAGAGAAUCCAAGAUUUCAUAA